GUAGUGCAAUGGGUAGCACGUUGGACUUCUAAUCCAAAGGUCGUGGGUUCGAAUUGCAACUAAGAGAAUCCCAUUCA